rnacentral:rRNA from 1 species
ACUCCUACGGGAGGCAGCAGUAGGGAAUCUUCCGCAAUGGGCGAAAGCCUGACGGAGCAACGCCGCGUGAGUGAUGAAGGUCUUCGGAUCGUAAAGCUCUGUUAUUAGGGAAGAACAAGUGCGUAAGUAACUGUGCGCACCUUGACGGUACCUAAUCAGAAAGCCACGGCUAACUACGUGCCAGCAGCCGCGGUAAUACGUAGGUGGCAAGCGUUAUCCGGAAUUAUUGGGCGUAAAGCGCGCGUAGGCGGUUUCUUAAGUCUGAUGUGAAAGCCCACGGCUCAACCGUGGAGGGUCAUUGGAAACUGGGAGACUUGAGUGCAGAAGAGGAAAGUGGAAUUCCAUGUGUAGCGGUGAAAUGCGCAGAGAUAUGGAGGAACACCAGUGGCGAAGGCGACUUUCUGGUCUGUAACUGACGCUGAUGUGCGAAAGCGUGGGGAUCAAACAGGAUUAGAUACCCUGGUAGUCCACGCCGUAAACGAUGAGUGCUAAGUGUUAGGGGGUUUCCGCCCCUUAGUGCUGCAGCUAACGCAUUAAGCACUCCGCCUGGGGAGUACGACCGCAAGGUUGAAACUCAAAGGAAUUGACGG